rnacentral:tRNA from 1 species
GAGGAUGUAGCUUAGUAGGUAAAGCGUUCGCCUGUCACGCGAAAGAUCGCGAGUUCAACCCUCGUCUUCCUCG